rnacentral:rRNA from 1 species
UACAGAGGUCCCGAGCGUUGUUCGGAUUCAUUGGGCGUAAAGGGUGCGUAGGCGGCGGGGAAAGUCUGAUGUGAAAUCCUGGGGCUCAACCCUGGAACUGCAUUGGAUACUUCCUUGCUAGAGUACUGGAGAGGAAACUGGAAUUUACGGUGUAGCAGUGAAAUGCGUAGAGAUCGUAAGGAAGACCAGUGGCGAAGGCGGCGACCUGGACAAGUACUGACACUCAACUACGAAAGCGUGGGGAGCAAACAGG